GGAAACGCAUAACACUUUAUUUUAUAUUGUUUUCUGCAAAUAAAUAAAUAUCGUUCAUUAAAGUGUACAAUCCCACUGAUGUCUUAAAAUAAUUAGGGUAAUCGGUGAGAGAGAUUACUUUUUUCAGAGAUGGAUGUUAUAUUCUAUCUUUGAUGCAGGAUAUAUAUAUAUAUAUAUAUAUAUAUAAACUUGAUUGUGAUUUCAUUAAUGCAAAUACGCGAAUAUUUCUCUCAUACUGAGACUGCAUAAUUUUGUUUAGCAAGUUCUGUUCUGUAACACUGUCUCUUUGUGUAGUGCUCGUUCAGUGAUUGCAAAACCACUACUUUUUCCCAUAAUAUUUCUCAGAAACUAUUUUUAUGUUGUAGUUAGUUGAAUCACAAAACAGCACAAAGUCGUUUCUAUAAUUUACUGUU
rnacentral:lncRNA from 1 species